AUUGAACGCUGGCGGCAGGCCUAACACAUGCAAGUAGAACGAGUGGCGGACGGGUGAGUAAUGUCUGGGAAACUGCCUGAUGGAGGGGGAUAACUAAUGGAAACGGUAGCUAAUACCGCAUACAAUCAGAUGUGCCCAGCUGGGAUUAGAUAGGUGGUGGGGUAACGGCUCACCAAGGCGACGAUCCCUAGCUGGUCUGAGAGGAUGACCAGGCACACUGGAACUGGGACACGGUCCAUACGCCUACGGGAGGCAGCAGUGGGGAAUAUUGCACAAUGGGCGCAAGCCUGAUGCAGCCAUUCCGCGUGUAUGAAGAAGGCCUUCGGGUUGUAAAGUACUUUCAGCGGGGAGGCUUUACCCGCAGAAGAAGCACCGGCUAACUCCGUGCCAGCAGCCGCGAUAAUUC
rnacentral:rRNA from 1 species